UACGGAGGGUGCAAGCGUUAUCCGGAUUCACUGGGUUUAAAGGGUGCGUAGGUGGGCAGUUAAGUCAGUGGUGAAAUCUCCGGGCUUAACCCGGAAACUGCCAUUAUACUAUCUGUCUUGAAUAUCGUGGAGGUAAGCGGAAUAUGUCAUGUAGCGGUGAAAUGCUUAGAUAUGACAUAGAACACCAAUUUGCGAAGGCAGCUUACUACCCGAAUAUUGACACUGAGGCACGAAAGCGUGGGGGAUCAAAACAGG
rnacentral:rRNA from 1 species